rnacentral:tRNA from 1 species
CAGAUAUUAGUUUAUUAAAAUUUUAAUUUUGGAGAUUAAAGAUAGGUUAUUAACCUAUAUCUGA